UUUUGAACCAUCACCUCUCCCUCCCCUCGUCCUCCUCUCCGGCCACCGGGAACCCUAAGAUUUAGAUCUCCGACGAUUUAGAUCUCAGACGAUGAGGGAGAUCCUGCACAUCCAGGGUGGGCAAUGUGGGAACCAGAUCGGGGCUAAGUUCUGGGAGGUGAUAUGCGACGAGCAUGGCAUCGACGGCAGCGGCAGGUACAACGGUGACUCUGAACUCCAGCUCGAGCGGAUUAAUGUUUACUACAACGAGGCCAGCGGGGGUCGAUACGUCCCCCGGGCGGUGCUCAUGGAUCUCGAGCCUGGCACGAUGGACUCCGUCAGAUCCGGGCCGUUCGGCCAGAUCUUCAGGCCGGAUAACUUCGUCUUCGGGCAGUCCGGCGCCGGGAACAACUGGGCAAAGGGCCACUACACUGAGGGCGCGGAGCUCAUUGAUUCGGUACUCGAUGUAGUGCGGAAGGAGGCAGAGAACUGUGAUUGCUUGCAAGGGUUCCAAGUCUGCCAUUCUUUAGGAGGAGGUACUGGUUCUGGCAUGGGCACACUUCUCAUCUCCAAGAUCAGAGAGGAGUAUCCAGAUCGCAUGAUGCUGACAUUCUCUGUUUUUCCAUCACCAAAGGUCUCUGAUACAGUUGUGGAACCAUAUAAUGCUACUCUCUCAGUGCAUCAGCUUGUUGAGAAUGCUGAUGAAUGUAUGGUGCUGGACAAUGAAGCACUGUAUGACAUUUGCUUCCGCACACUAAAGCUUGCAACCCCAACCUUCGGAGAUCUUAAUCACCUCAUCUCUGCUACAAUGAGUGGUGUCACCUGCUGCCUCCGGUUCCCUGGUCAGCUCAAUUCUGACCUCCGGAAGCUUGCUGUGAACCUGAUUCCCUUCCCCCGCCUCCACUUCUUCAUGGUGGGGUUCGCACCACUGACAUCAAGGGGCUCCCAGCAAUACAGGGCCCUCACUGUUCCUGAGUUGACCCAACAGAUGUGGGAUGCCAAGAACAUGAUGUGUGCCGCCGACCCCCGUCACGGCCGUUACCUGACCGCCUCAGCCAUGUUCCGUGGAAAGAUGAGCACCAAGGAGGUCGAUGAGCAGAUGAUCAAUGUUCAGAACAAGAACAGCUCCUACUUUGUCGAGUGGAUACCAAACAAUGUCAAAUCCAGUGUGUGUGACAUUCCACCCAAGGGGCUGAAGAUGGCAUCCACUUUCAUUGGGAACUCAACCUCCAUCCAGGAGAUGUUCAGGCGGGUGAGCGAGCAGUUCACCGCCAUGUUCAGGAGGAAGGCUUUCUUGCACUGGUACACUGGCGAGGGCAUGGACGAGAUGGAGUUCACUGAGGCCGAGAGCAAUAUGAAUGACUUGGUGGCAGAGUAUCAGCAGUAUCAGGAUGCAACAGCUGAUGUGGAAGAUUAUGAGGAAGAGGAAGAGGAAGGGGAGGAAGCUUGAGCUGAUUCUCUUUUUCCCAGCUUGGCUUGAGAUGGACUUGGUUAUGUUUGUACCAUGAAGGACAUGCUUGAACACUGGAUUGGCGUCGGACCGGUGUGCGUACUUCGAUUACAAAGACUAAGGCUGUGGAGGAUUGAUGACAACGAUGAAUUUCUUUGGCAGAGAGCUUAGUGCAAAUCUAAAGAGAACUUCUAGCAUGCAUCUCCACCAAGAAGGAGGCAGGUUUGGAUCUCAAUCAGUGAGCUAAUGACAUGCACUUAGUGAUCAGUGCUCCUCAUGCAACGGAAACACAAUCAUGGACCAUUCUAAAGCUGAGAGAGAAUAGAGAAGGUGAUCCCUUCAACUUGAUCUUUGAGUACAUUCAUGAGAGGAGGUUUUAGUAAAUAAAGCAAUAUCCAUUUAACUUUGUUUAUGUGAGAGAACUCAAAUCAGAUAUCAUUAAUUCUCAUAAAGUUUUCUUUGUUUAUGCUCCUUUACGUAGUAACAAUCUUUGGGAUUAGAGCUACUUACAUAUUUCCUCUUAUAAUUUGGACCAUUUAGCAUCGAUGUUUCUGUACUUGGAAAAAAUUACACUAGAAUCCCAAUGGCCAUGAAAUUACUGUAUUUGACUCUGUUUGUAACAACGAUGUCUAUUUCUUUGAUGGAAGCUGUUGCAUGUGAUAUCAUGUGCUGAUUCAACGAUUAAGUGAAGAGCAAAAUGAUCAUUUCAUGGAAUACGAUUGUGGUACAAAGGGGCUGGUAGUUUUGAAUGGCCCUGUGUUGACUUCACCAUGUUGCCCCAAAUCUUUCUCCCAGGGUUUGCAGCAAAUCUUUUCGCAAUCAACAAAUCCUCCUCUAGAACAUCGCAAUGCCAGGUCAGAGUUCUAGCUUGAGUUCGAAUACGAAUGGAUUAUGCUAUUGUGGUAUGCGAUUUGCGGUGAUGAUCUCUUGGACAGAGUAGAACCCUUGGAGGCGGUUUGCUUCAUGUCAAAUACUACAUGUGAGUUCGACGAUCAAUUAUCCUUGCCAUUCUUCUGAUCUUUUUGUUUAUUAGUUGCAUAGCUGGCCUUUUUUGACUGGAAGUUGUUGAUCCACCUAUGCGUGACCAUGUGAAUGCUGAUAACCCGUCCUUGUUUAUGCUGUAACAGAAAUAUGGGGGAUGCUAAUUUUUUGCUUGGAUUGAUCCACCUAUGUGUAAACGAGCAAACAAAUAAAUUUCAUGUUUGCUGUGAAAAGUAAACAUCCUUGAGAAAUUAUAUUGGGAAGCUUUGAUCAUUUGUUGGAUUGCAAUGUACCUUAUUUGAACAGCUGGUCCAACCGAGAAGGCAUCUGCCGAUAAAAUGUUGUGUGUUGGCGUAGGUUGGGUUUGUCUCAAUUCUUAAGUUCUAUGUAUAGUUCUUUGUCUUUGUCAUUGUUAGGUGAGGGUCUAAGGUUGCACUUAUAUGUGUAAUGGAUGUCAAUUUUGUAGUUGCAAAUUUGGAUAGUGUCUGAAUGUUUGUUGUACCCCCUCUUUAAAUGAUGAAAUGCAAUGAAUGGAUUAUUCAUUACA